UACAUGGAUAACUGUGGUAAUUCUAGAGCUAAUACAUGCAGCAAGCCUUGACCCUCACGGGCAAGGCGCAGUUAUUAGAUCAAAAACCAAUCGGUUGUAUCUUCGGAUAUAGCCGUUAGCUUGGUGACUCUGAGUAACCACAGCGAACCGUAUGGCCUUGUGCUCGACGGUCUGUCAGUCAAGCAACUGCCUUAUCAGCUUGUUGUUAGGUUAUAUGCCUAACAAGGCUUCAACGGGUAACGAACGAUCGGGGUCGGAUAUCGGAGAGGGAGCUUGAGAAACGGCUACCACUUCCAAGGAAGGCAGCAGGCGCGCAAAUUACCCACUCUCGGCAUGAGGAGGUAGCGAUGAAAUGUAUCGAUGCGGGGCCAUUAGUGCCUUCGUAAUCGGAAUGAGUACACUUUAAAUCCUAUAACGAGGACCUAUUGGAGGGCAAGUCUGGUGCCAGCAGCCGCGGUAAUUCCAGCUCCAAUAGCGUAUAUUAAUGCUGCUGCGGUUAAAAAGCUCGUAGUCGGAUCUGGGUUCCCGGCGGGUACCGCAUGUUGCUUCAUGCAGCAUGUUGUGUACUAUACGUGUCGCUUCGGCGGCACUGCCAGUGUAACGCUGUCUCUUGUAGGCACGUUGCGCUGGUCGCCGGAACCACGGGCCGGGUUGAGCAGCAUGCUCUUAAUUGAGUGUGUUGUUUACUCGGUGCGUUUACUUUGAAAAAAUUGGAGUGCUCAAAGCAAGCGUACAGUCGCUAUGCGGCUUGAACAGUGGUGCAUGGAAUAAUGGAAUAGGGCCUCGGUUCUAUUUUGUUGGUUUUAAGAUAUCGAGGUAAUGAUUAAGAGGGACAGACGGGGACGUUUGUAUUGCGACGUUAGAGGUGAAAUUCUUGGAUCGUCGCAAGACACACUAAUGCGAA
rnacentral:rRNA from 1 species